GUGGUGCUCUGAUUUUGCAGUGGAUCUGCUCUCGGGAUCAAAGCUCCUGGCUCUGCACGUGAGCGGACCGGAAGUAAACGAGCUCGGACCUGUUUAAGGCGCCAACUUUGAUUCUUUCUCUAUUAAUCGACAGGGAUGCCAGAAUCAGGCCAGUGCCACACCUCAUGGUCCUCCACAACCAUCAACAAAUGGCUCAGGUAGGUGAUGGGAUGAACGACGGCCAGGUAGCGCUCCACACAGGUCAGGAUGUGGAAGAACAUCUGUCCCAUCCAGGUGAAGGAUAAAAGAAACGUCCCCACCAAUAACACAGUGACAUUAUCAUGUAGAUACCACAGCAGCAGAAGGUGUUCCCAAAGAUACCUAUCGGCUCCAUGGCGACCGUGUGGUAGGUGAAGCUGUCGGAGUGACUCGUCGCCGCUGCCGCGGUGGUGGAGGAGCGCUGUUGGCGCCAUCGCUGGAGACCCAGGUAGAGGAUGAGGAUGCAGAGAGGGAGGAGGAGGAUGUUGGUGAUGUUGAACACGGCAAAAACUAAAGAGCUUGGUCUGAAGACGAAGCAAUAAAUGCCAGAAGUAAAAGAGGAUUGGGUGGAGGAAAGGUCAGGAAGAUGAAGGCAGUCAUUGGAGGAGGUGGAGGAGUUCACUGACAUCUAGAGGAGAAAAAGAGAAAAUGUAUAAAUUAUAUCUACUUCUUUCAUUCAUCUGAGUUGUCCUUUAUCAGUUAAAGUUUCUGUAGAGAGAAAACACCUGAGUUUAUGAAAUACAGCAUCAACUGUGCAAGUGUCCAAACACUGAGUUAAAGUUUCAGUCGCCCACAUGAACGUAGAUUUAAAAUGAUGGUGAUCAUCAUAUUAAAAAGUAAUAAGAACACCAACCUUAUCAGUAUUUGUUUCUGACCUUCCUCCCUCUGUGCCUUCCCUUGGUCGACUCUGAAUGUCUGAGUAUCUGCUCCAGAUAUUCUCCACUGGCUGUAUAUUGCAGCCUCAGUCAAAUUGUUUUUUUAUUUGCAUAAAAAACCAAAUGACAUCAACAAAUAAAAAACCUGUG